rnacentral:rRNA from 1 species
CACGAAGUUAGCCGGGGCUUCUUCUCCGGAUACCGUCAUUAUCUUCUCCGGUGAAAGAGCUUUACAACCCUAGGGCCCUCAUCACUCACGCGGCAUGGCUGGAUCAGGCUUGCGCCCAUUGUCCAAUAUUCCCCACUGCUGCCUCCCGUAGGAGUUUGGGCCGUGUCUCAGUCCCAAUGUGGCUGAUCAUCCUCUCAGACCAGCUAUGGAUCGUCGCCUUGGUAGGCCUUUACCCCACCAACUAGCUAAUCCAACGCGGGCUCAUCCUUUCCCGAUAAAUCUUUCUCCCGAAGGACACAUACGGUAUUAGCACAAGUUUCCCUGCGUUAUUCCGUAGAAAACGGGUAGAUUCCCACGCGUUACUCACCCGUCUGCCGCUCCCCUUGCGGGCGCUCGACUUGCAUGUGUUAAGCCUGCCGCCAGCGUCGUUCUGAGCCAGGAUCAAACUC